rnacentral:rRNA from 1 species
AACGAACGCUGGCGGCAUGCCUAACACAUGCAAGUCGAACGAGACCUUCGGGUCUAGUGGCGCACGGGUGCGUAACGCGUGGGAACCUGCCCUUAGGUUCGGAAUAACUCCCCGAAAGGGGUGCUAAUACCGGAUAAUGUCUUCGGACCAAAGAUUUAUCGCCUUUGGAUGGGCCCGCGUUGGAUUAGCUAGUUGGUAGGGUAAAGGCCUACCAAGGCGACGAUCCAUAGCUGGUCUGAGAGGAUGAUCAGCCACACUGGGACUGAGACACGGCCCAGACUCCUACGGGAGGCAGCAGUGGGGAAUAUUGGACAAUGGGCGAAAGACUGAUCCAGCAAUGCCGCGUGAGUGAUGAAGGCCUUAGGGUUGUAAAGCUCUUUUACCCGGGACGAUAAUGACAGUACCGGGAGAAUAAGCUCCGGCUAACUCCGUG